GGAAGGAUCAUUCACAAUGAGUGUUUUAUGGCACUCUUUAAAAAUCCAUAUCCACCUUGUGUGCAAUGUUUGUUGGGAGAGAGGCAACUCUUUCCCUUCACAAAUAUCAACCUAUAUCUUUAACAACAUUCGUCUGAUAACAUAUUAUGAAUAUACUUAAUUCAAAAUAUAACUUUCAACAACGGAUCUCUUGGCUCUCGCAUCGAUGAAGAACGCAGCGAAAUGCGAUACGUAAUGUGAAUUGCAGAAUUCAGUGAAUCAUCGAAUCUUUGAACGCAUAUUGCGCUCUUUGGUAUUCCGAAGAGCAUGCUUGUUUGAGUAUCAGUAAACACCUCAACCUCCUCUUGAUUUUUCAAAAGGAGGGUGGACUUGAGCUAUCCCAACAACCUUCACCGGUAGGCGGGCGGCUUGAAAUGCAGGUGCAGCUGGACUUUUAUCUGAGCUAAAAGCAUAUCUAUUUAGUCCUCGUCAAACAGGAUUAUUACUAUUGCUGCAGCUAACAUAAAGGAUAAUUGUCCUCAUUGCUGACUGAUGCAGGAUUUUACGACACUUUAUGUGUUGUUCAACUCGAUCUCAAAUCAAGUAAGACUACCCGCUGAACUUAAGCAUAUCAAUAAGCGGAGGAAAA
rnacentral:rRNA from 1 species